rnacentral:lncRNA from 1 species
CUUGGGCUGCGGGGCCCACCUCUCUGCCGUCCUCCCUCCUGGGUGAGGGCUGGGGCGGGUUUGCAUCCGGUUCCGCUUGGUGCCUAGGGUGCCUGGGCUCUACUUCAACCUGCCAGUAACGGAGUGAGGGUGGGGCAGUUCUCCACACCACCCUGCCCAAGAGAUGUGACCUAAGAGGACAUGGAGGUACUGGGUGGCAGGAGAGGCGGCUGACCCGCUGAGCAAGGAGUCCCUGUGGCUUGUGAUUUGUGCCUGGUGUCCUCACGAAAAGGUGAAGGAGUGUGUGCCCAGGAUUCUGACAUUCCCUCCUCCCCUGAAGGCUGGGGAGCAGCUGAACACACGUGGCAGACAGGACUCCCAGACCUGGCACGUUGUUUUCGACACAAUGUCUCAUAAAUAACAACUCACUGUGUAGCUGAGGAUGACCUUGACUGCCUCCACCACUCAAGUGCUGGAUUUCAGGGUCUAUAGGUCAGGCUGGUGCCAUACUUGUGACCCUCUUGCCUCAGUCUCCCGAGUGCUGAUAUUAUAGGUGCAUCAACCCAUACGGCACUUUGCAGCCCAGACUCCGAGUCCCAAAUCUUACCAGGCAGGCUGUGGUCUCUGAUGAACUCUCCAGGGAUGAGUUGGGACUCGCUCUGAGCUUCCAGGGGUCAGUGGACUCAUAGGGACAGAGGAGUUACUCAGUUCUACAGAAGUUGGCAUUAGGUGAAUUCCAAUCUAGGAUAUAGGCUGGCAGAUGUCAAGGCAAAAGAAGGAGCCAGGUCAAAAUGGUGAAAAGCUGUGGAUUUGGACGCUAAUGGUAAUGGGAUGUUCAUUGUCAAAGAGUGGAGGAUGAGAG